ACCUCCAUUUGGUGAAGUCUCUGCUCAUCACAUCUCUUGAAUCACUCUCCCUUUUGCAAAAUUUCAGACGUGCAAACUGAUGAAUAAAAAACAUGGUAAAGAAAAACCAGAGAAAGGAGGGAAAGAGGUCGGACGAUGAAGCUCUUGCGGCUCGAAAUCAUAGAUAUUUCUUUGGAUGAUGAAACCGAAAGCCGCCAUGGCUGUGUUUCCCUACACUUUCUGGCCUAAGAAUUCGAUGAUUUCUUCGUCUGUGGGAGAAAAUCUGAAGCCUGUAAGAACCACCUUUUGACCUUUUGAAACUUUUUUUUUUCUUUUUUACCAAAAAGACAAAUUUAUCAUUCAAUAAUACCAACCAGAUUUAUGAAACAUAUCUUAUACGUAUGAAAAUGGUGUAUUUCUAAUUCAAUUUCAUACCAAUUGUAUAUUCCAAUCAAGACAUAAAACUUUCUAAUUUAUUCAAUUUAGUUUCUA